rnacentral:lncRNA from 1 species
UGGGGUCGGGUAUGAUUGAAAUAUGAUAUUAACAUAUUUUAUAUUUAUUUGAGUUCUGUUCAACGUAAAAUGUGAGCCUAAACUUUUACUCAAACUCGUACGCAAUUGGAGAUGACUAACCCAAAGUCAUUUUAGGUAGCCUUUAUUUUUUUUAAUAUUUAUAUUGUUUUUAAUUUAAAAUUUAAUUUUUUUUUCAUAUAUUAAACUUUUAUAUGUAGAUAAAUUAAUUUUUUUUUCAAUUCUUACAUUAUAGAAUUAUAAU